AGUGAACGCUGGCGGCGUGCUUAACACAUGCAAGUCGAACGAGAACGGAUUAUAGCUUGCUAUAAUUGUCAGCUAAGUGGCGCACGGGUGAGUAAUGUAUAGGUAAUAUGCCUCUUACUAAGGGAUAACAAAUGGAAACGUUUGCUAAUACCUUAUACUCCUUAUUAACAGAAGUUAAUAAGGGAAAGAUUUAUUGGAAAGAGAUUAGCCUGUAUUGUAUCAGUUAGUUGGUGGGGUAACGGCUUACCAAGACUAUGACACAUAACUGGUUUGAGAGAAUGAUCAGUCACACUGGAACUGAGACACGGUCCAGACUCCUACGGGAGGCAGCAGUGGGGAAUAUUGCACAAUGGACGAAAGUCUGAUGCAGCAACGCCGCGUGGAGGAUGACACAUUUCGGUGCGUAAACUCCUUUUAUAUGAGAAGAUAAUGACGGUAUUAUAUGAAUAAGCACCGGCUAACUCCGUGCCAGCAGCCGCCGUAA
rnacentral:rRNA from 1 species